rnacentral:rRNA from 1 species
UACGUAGGGGGCAAGCGUUGUCCGGAUUUAUUGGGCGUAAAGAGUGUGUAGGCGGUUUGGUAGGUCCGUUGUGAAAACUCGAGGCUCAACCUCGAGACGCCGAUGGAAACCAUCAGACUAGAGUACGGAAGAGGAGAGUGGAAUUCCUGGUGUAGCGGUGAAAUGCGCAGAUAUCAGGAAGAACACCCGUGGCUAAGGCGGCUCUCUAGUACGGUACUGACGCUGAGACGCGAAAGCGUGGGGAGCGAACAGG